rnacentral:rRNA from 1 species
GGUGGUUAAAGAUGGGCUCGCGUGACAUUAGCUGGAUGGUAGGGUAACGGCCUACCAUGGCUACGAUGUCUAGGGGUUCUGAGAGGAAGAUCCCCCACACUGGAACUGAGACACGGUCCAGACUCCUACGGGAGGCAGCAGUGAGGAAUAUUGGACAAUGGAUGGAAAUCUGAUCCAGCCAUGCCGCGUGCAGGAAGACGGCCCUAUGGGUUGUAAACUGCUUUUAUACGGGAGCAAUAAGGUCUACGAGUAGGCCGAUGAGAGUACCGUAGGAAUAAGCACCGGCUAACUCCGUGCCAGCAGCCGCGGUAAUACGGAGGGUGCAAGCGUUAUCCGGAUUUAUUGGGUUUAAAGGGUGCGUAGGCGGUCUAUUAAGUCAGCGGUGAAAGUUUUCAGCUUAACUGGAAAAAUGCCGUUGAUACUGAUAGGCUAGAAUAUGGUUGCUGUGGGUGGAAUGUGUGGUGUAGCGGUGAAAUGCUUAGAUAUCACACAGAACACCGAUUGCGAAGGCAGCUUACUAAGCCAUUACUGACGCUGAGGCACGAAAGCGUGGGGAUCGAACAGGAUUAGAUACCCUGGUAGUCCACGCCGUAAACGAUGAUCACUCGCUGUUUGCGAUAUACAGCAAGCGGCUGAGCGAAAGCAUUAAGUGAUCCACCUGGGGAGUACGAUCGCAAGGUUGAAACUCAAAGGAAUUGACGGGGGCCCGCACAAGCGGAGGAACAUGUGGUUUAAUUCGAUGAUACGCGAGGAACCUUACCUGGGCUUGACAUCCUGUGACAGCUAUGGAAAGAGGUGUGCCUUUCGGGGAGCCGUAAGACAGGUGCUGCAUGGCUGUCGUCAGCUCGUGUCGUGAGAUGUUGGGUUAAGUCCCGCAACGAGCGCAACCCUUGUCUUUAGUUGCCAGCAUUAAGUUGGGCACUCUAAAGAGACUGCCGGUGUCAAACCGGAGGAAGGUGGGGAUGACGUCAAAUCAUCAUGCCCCUUAUGUCUUGGGCUACACACGUACUACAAUGGCCUGAACAGAGGGAAGCAAAACUGCGAAGUUAAGCGAAUCCCUUAAAACAGGUCCCAGUUCGGAUUGUAGGCUGCAACUCGCCUACAUGAAGUUGGAAUCGCUAGUAAUCGCAGGUCAGCAUACUGCGGUGAAUACGUUCCCGGGCCUUGUACACACCGCCCGUCACACCACGAAAGUCGGCAACACCCGAAGACGUUGACUUAACCG